rnacentral:rRNA from 1 species
GACGAACGCUGGCGGCGUGCUUAACACAUGCAAGUCGAACGGUAAGGCCCUUCGGGGUACACGAGUGGCGAACGGGUGAGAAACACGUGGGUGAUCUGCCCUGCACUUCGGGAUAAGCCUGGGAAACUGGGUCUAAUACCGGAUAGGACCCUGGGAUGCAUGUCCUGGGGUGGAAAGCUUUUGCGGUGUGGGAUGGGCCCGCGGCCUAUCAGCUUGUUGGUGGGGUGAUGGCCUACCAAGGCGACGACGGGUAGCCGGCCUGAGAGGGUGACCGGCCACACUGGGACUGAGAUACGGCCCAGACUCCUACGGGAGGCAGCAGUGGGGAAUAUUGCACAAUGGGCGCAAGCCUGAUGCAGCGACGCCGCGUGAGGGAUGACGGCCUUCGGGUUGUAAACCUCUUUCAGCACCGACGGAGCGCAAGUGACGGUAGGUGCAGAAGAAGGACCGGCCAACUACGUGCCAGCCGCCGCAGUAA